rnacentral:rRNA from 1 species
AUUGAACGCUGGCGGCAGGCCUAACACAUGCAAGUCGAGCGGAUGAAGGGUGCUUGCUCCUGGAUUCAGCGGCGGACGGGUGAGUAAUGCCUAGGAAUCUGCCUGGUAGUGGGGGAUAACGUCCGGAAACGGGCGCUAAUACCGCAUACGUCCUGAGGGAGAAAGUGGGGGAUCUUCGGACCUCACGCUAUCAGAUGAGCCUAGGUCGGAUUAGCUAGUUGGUGGGGUAAAGGCCUACCAAGGCGACGAUCCGUAACUGGUCUGAGAGGAUGAUCAGUCACACUGGAACUGAGACACGGUCCAGACUCCUACGGGAGGCAGCAGUGGGGAAUAUUGGACAAUGGGCGAAAGCCUGAUCCAGCCAUGCCGCGUGUGUGAAGAAGGUCUUCGGAUUGUAAAGCACUUUAAGUGGGGAGGAAGGGCAGUAAGUUAAUACCUUGCUGUUUUGACGUUACCAACAGAAUAAGCACCGGCUAACUUCGUG